AAAAGCAGCCAUCUUUUAUAAAGCGUUAAAGCUACAUCGCACUAAACACUAAUCCCCAAUCAAUACUCAAAACCCCUCAUUAGUACUGAGUGACUCCAUAACUCUAUGGAAAACCUUCUGUUAGAACUAGUAACAAGAAAUAGACUUCUCCAACAAUGUAAGUGUAACCCAAAAUGAACCAAUCAUUGGCGCUCACCGUUUAUGAAUAUAUAGUAUUAACACAACAUGAAAACCCCACUAACCCAAACGUUAACCUUACACUAGAACCUUUCAGGAAAGAUUAAAAAACAUGGAAGGAACUCGGCAAAUAAUAACCCCGCCUGUUUACCAAAAACAUCGCCUCCUGUUACCCAUAGGAGGUCCAGCCUGCCCAGUGAACUAAAUUAAACGGCCGCGGUACCCUAACCGUGCAAAGGUAGCACAAUCACUUGUUCUUUAAAUAAGGACUAGUAUGAACGGCAUCACGAGGGUUAUACUGUCUCCCCUGUUCAAUCAGUGAAACUAAUCCCCCCGUGAAGAAGCGGGGAUACUUUUAUAAGACGAGAAGACCCCAUGGAGCUUUAAACCCAGUAUCACUUGCAUCUAUUACACCACAUUAAUAAGCAACCUGACUACCAGUUUUUGGUUGGGGUGACCGCGGAGCAAAAUAAAACCUCCAUGACGAAUAGAACUACUUCUAAUCAAAGAGCUACAACUCGCAGAAUCAACAUAUUGACUAAAAUUGACCCAAUAAUUUUGAACAACGAACCAAGUUACCCUGGGGAUAACAGCGCAAUCCAUUUCAAGAGCCCCUAUCGACAAAUGGGUUUACGACCUCGAUGUUGGAUCAGGGUGUCCAAGUGGUGCAGCCACUACUAAAGG
rnacentral:rRNA from 1 species